GGUUUUGAAGGUGAUCUGACUGUGACAUCUGUCACCCAUUGAUCACAGGAGUUGAUUUGGUUGAUCUGGCUGGCUAGGCAGGUGUCCCCUUCCUCCCUCACCAUUCAAUGUGCAUCCCUCCUGAAGCUGUGUGCUUUUCAAAGAGGAUGAGCUUCCCUGGUAGAGGAGGACCAUUCUUCAAUCAAGGGUAUAUGAGUAACUGAGCUCCUCUGCUAGAACCUCCAAACAAGCUCUCAGGUUUUGCUUUGAAAUACACUUUACCUCAAUUUAAAAGUUUGGCAGAAUUUAUUUCUGAGAUGAAAUAUUCUGUAAGGAAUCUGUACUUUUGAA
rfam:Ictidomys tridecemlineatus contig103539, whole genome shotgun sequence.